GAUGAACGCUGGCGGCGUGCUUAACACAUGCAAGUCGAACGAAGCACUUAAGCGGAUCUCUUCGGACUGAAGCUUUUGUGACUGAGUGGCGGACGGGUGAGUAACGCGUGGGUAACCUGCCUCAUACAGGGGGAUAACAGUUAGAAAUGACUGCUAAUACCGCAUAAGCGCACGAUACCGCAUGGUAUUGUGUGAAAAACUCCGGUGGUAUGAGAUGGACCCGCGUCUGAUUAGCUAGUUGGCAGGGCAACGGCCUACCAAGGCGACGAUCAGUAGCCGACCUGAGAGGGUGACCGGCCACAUUGGGACUGAGACACGGCCCAA
rnacentral:rRNA from 1 species